GCAAUAUGGAUAUCGUGUCCGAGGUUCUCGAGGGUGCAGAGAACGAUUGUGUGAUCAUAUUUGAAAUCCAAGAUGGCCGCCGCACAAAAUUAUGAUUUCAGCAAUAUGGAUAUCGUGUCCGAGGUUCUCGAGGGUGCAGAGAACGAUUCUGUGAUCAUUUUUGAAUUCAAAGAUGGCCGCCGCUCAUAAUUAUGAUUUCAGCAAUAUGGAUAUCGUGUCCGAGGUUCUCGAGGGUGCAGAGAACGAUUCUGUGAUCAUUUUUGAAUUCAAAGAUGGCCGCCGCUCAUAAUUAUGAUUUCAGCAAUAUGGAUAUCGUGUCCGAGGUUCUCGAGGGUGCAGAGAAC